rnacentral:rRNA from 1 species
CACGUAGGGGGCAAGCGUUGUCCGGAUUUAUUGGGCGUAAAGGGCUCGUAGGUGGCCAACUAAGUCGGACGUGAAAUCCCUCAGCUUAACUGGGGAACUGCGUCCGAUACUGGAUGGCUCGAGUUUGGGAGAGGGAUGCGGAAUUCCAGGUGUAGCGGUGAAAUGCGUAGAUAUCGUAAGGAAGACCAGUGGCGAAGGCGGGUCUCUGGACAGUUCCUGACGCUGAGGCACGAAGGCCAGGGGAGCAAACGGG